rnacentral:rRNA from 1 species
UGAGGAAUAUUGCGCAAUGGGGGAAACCCUGACGCAGCGACGCCGCGUGGGUGAAGAAGGCCUUCGGGUUGUAAAGCCCUGUCAGGUGGGAAGAAACCUCUGAAGGUGAAUAGCCUUCGGAACUGACGGUACCACCAAAGGAAGCACCGGCUAACUCCGUGCCAGCAGCCGCGGUAAGACGGAGGGUGCAAGCGUUGCUCGGAAUCACUGGGCGUAAAGCGCGUGUAGGCGGCCCGGUAAGUCGAGUGUGAAAGCCCGAGGCUCAACCUCGGAAGUGCAUUCGAAACUGCCGGUCUUGAGUACGGGAGAGGGAAGUGGAAUUCCUGGUGUAGAGGUGAAAUUCGUAGAUAUCAGGAGGAACACCGGUGGCGAAGGCGGCUUCCUGGACCGAUACUGACGC